CAUUUCGGGCCCACGUUGUUGUGUCAGGUGCCUAUUGCUCUAUCAGCCCUCGUUGCUUAAGUGCCACCAUUGCGGCAACGGGGCCCUGAGGGACGAGCCGAGCCGUGCCCGCCCCCAUUUUGUGCCACCUCGGGCCCGACCGCUCCCGCGGGGCUCCCCCGCCGCCGCCCCCCGGCGCAGGAGGCUGCGGGCACGGCGGGACCGGGCUCCGUCCCGCCACGGCCGCCCCGGGCCCCGCCGCCCCCCGCACUACAUUUCCCGGCAGCGCGGGGCGGGGACCGGCCGGGCCUGGCCGGGGCUGCUGGGAGGGCCGGUGCCUCGCCUGCUGGCUUUCCGGAGCGCCAGGAAGGGAAGGGUUGUUUGGGGGUUUUCAUUGUAGGUGCAGCCGAAAGGGGGAAGCUCCGCAGCCUAACAAAGCAUCACCGCUUCCUCAGUUCCCACUGGGACCGGCAUCCUGGAGACUAACAGCUGUUGGGGGAUCGUGGUGGCUCCGGGCUGGGACUGUUUGUGGGUGUUCAUUCCAAAUGCAGAAGUCAGGCCCUGAGAGGCUGUGGCUGUACACUGCUGUACACCCUGCUAGGAAAGACCAGGAAUGUGAGGUUGGCAUCUGGGCCAUCUCUUUGGCCGUACCUUCCUGACCGAUGUUUUGUUUCCCAGUGUUAUGCCAGAUGUAAAAAAGGCAGUCUAUGAAGUUGCAUAAACAUGCAAAACAAAACUGUACCCACCAGUAUUUGGGAAUGCACACAAACAAAUGCGGACAAAGUGAAAAUAAGAACAGAAUUCUUAAAACUCAUCUUUGGCGUUUGUUCCUUCUAACUGAAAACUGGUGCCUGAGCUGGUCUAUGCAUUUUCUUUGAUCAGAAAGUUGAUAGAUCACUGUUUUUCUUCAAGAAUUAAUGGUGACCUAUCAAUUAAAAAAAAAAAUAAUUGAGGUUUUUGUUGAACAUGAUGGAAAGUUUUUUCCCACCUUCCUUACUGACCUUCCCUUCCUAAUAUAUUUUUUAAUCUCAGUUUUCAGAUGUUUAGAAAUUUAACAAUGGAGCCACAUGUCCCCAUACAGCAAAUGUAAGUCCAGUGAGAAGAGUUUUAGUUGUCAUAUGUUGAGCAUGAUCCACAGAUUAAACAAUCCAUGGAUCACAGCUUAAAAUGCAACAGGUAGGCAGAUGUACAUUGUUUACCAAUUCGGUGAUACCUUCAGUAAGUAAUAGUUCUUCUAAUUGCACAAUAUAAAUGUUAUGUGCCUAUUCGCUAUUACCUACAAGGGCAGGUAGUGAGAUAAAACCCCAAGACUUUAAUUAUAGUGCUUGAUAUACUAACAUGUACAAACCAAAAACAUGCACCUUACAUACAAAAGGGGUUUUUUUCCUACGGGAAGGUUCACAGACAUUAUCUAGAGAUCAAAAGGCAGAAAAGCAACAUUUCCACGAUUAUUCAGAAGUUGCUGUAAUGCACAAGUAUGUCAAUUAUAUUUUCUUCAUGUAUCCAUCGGGAACAUGAAACACAAAACUGUUUUCUGUGGCUUAGGAAGUCCCUGACUGAAUGCGUCCACAUGCACUGAAAGAGCGCUUGUUUGCUUUCUCUGUUCUUACACUGUUUGCCUAAGUAAGUGCUGCGGCUGCAUGAGGACUAAAAUACAAGGUUAAAUAGAUGUUUUGACUAACACAGUAUGGCUGUUCUUCUGCAAUGAACAAUCUUGCUGCCAGUACUGUAUAGGUAUGGGUUGUGUCAGAUCAGCUGUGUAAUUUAGCUUUCUAAAAUGAAACACUUAUUUCUUUAAACUACUGCUCUGAGCAAUAAGACUGUUUUCCACAAUCACUUUGCAAAGUGUCCAGUACUUAUUACAUACAUACAUAAAAGACUGUUGAAUCUCUGAAAUUCAGACUUCUAGUAGGCAAUCACAAAGAAAACUGGGUUCUUAGUGAACAUACACUGAUCCGACGCUUUUUCUUGUGUAUGUAUUCUUUUUAUAAUCAAUCUGCAUAAAAUAAUUACAAUUUUCACCAUGAAAAUCAAGUCUGCUUUCCAGUUCUAAGAGAAAGGGAAGGGAAAGGGCAGUUUCUUUUCUUUCAUUUACACCUUGAGGAUGCCAGUCACUUGUUAUCACCUACUUGCUUAUUGUGAGAAACAAUAAGCUUUGUGAGACAAAAAUAAGCAUUCAGUUCAUCCACACCAUUUGAGAUGUUAUAUUCCUCUAUCAUACCUCUCCCCUCUCAAUUCUUCCCAGGUGUUGAAAUGUCUCUUAGGCAAAAGCUAUUGCACACUGUGAAAGCCUGUUCACUCUUUGGUAUACGUUCCAAGUUGUUCUAGAUCUUUUCUGAGAUUAGAGUAGAAAGCAGGGGAAUUAGUUCACACUUAGCAUGGAAGAUGUGGCUUCAUGAUGGAUUCAUUGUGGUGUGAUUAUUGCUUUAUAUUUCCUUAUCCUUUCUUCCCUGAAAAACUAUUACGUCACUUUACAUGUUAUUCUGAUAUACUUUCACAUGUUUUCCAAACUCUUUCCCUUCUUUAGAGACCACUGGGUUUAAAAAGCAAGAAAUUUUCAGCCUAACAUAUUUUGAAACAAAAUCCUGUCUAAAAGUAAGUGGUCUUGUGGUCUUGUUUUCUCCAAGUGUAAUUUUCAGGGAACAGGAAGGAGGCUGAGGAAGAUAACGUUGGUGGAACUCUCCUUCAACCACAGGAAAUUAAAUGGGCAACAGUAAAGAUUUUUAAAAAUGGCUUUCUUUGGCUUUCAGCUAUGGAAUUAACAGGCUACAGAUUUCAAGUCUAGAACAGAAAAAUAUUUCGGAAAUUAAGUGAGCAAUAGUGAGAAAUACAGACCUUUCAGAAAAUGUAAGGGACUUAUUUAAUAUUUAGAUAUAUGAGAAGUGACACUGUAAGCACUCAGCUAAUAUGCUGCAUUCAAAUGGAACAAAAAUGGAGCAAAAAGUUCUGUCUCUGUAAUACUGAGAUGAUUUCAUAGGAUUUCUGUGGGUGAGGUUCCACACUUAGCAAGUGAUGUCUUGGGGGGAAAAAAAAAAUGGGGGAAAAAAAAAAUCACAAAAUCAGAAUCUCCCAUAGCUAUUCAAAGUCAGCUGUGUAAAAAAGUUUUAAUUUCUCAAUUUCUAGUAUAAAAUACAGUGAAAAAUAAAGGACUACAAAUCUAGUGAUACGUUUUUUCCCUCAGAUUAGCUGAGAGUAAAGAUCUCCUGAACAGGUUUAAUUUCUUCAGAAACUUCCUUGAGACUUUUUCAUCAUACCACUUUGUGCUGCUGUGGCAUCACGUGCAUUGGCCUUUUGCCACCAAUAAACAUGAUGCUCAGUUUAUUCUAUCAAUAGCCAGCUACUACAGACAUUACAAUGAGAGCUGAAAUGGGACAACAGAGAAUUUUAAAAUAAGAAUCUUACAUAUAUAAUACUCAAAGAUAAUACAUUUUCCCUACAAUAAACUGUUGUAACAACUGCAUUGGAUGCAUUUCAAACAAGUGUAGGCAAAUGGAUGUAACAAAAUCCUCAAAGUGUAAAUAUAGUAAUAAAAUACAACAAAAUGUAGUACGACUUAAAAAAGGGUUGAGAAGUGUGACUAAAAGAGCUGGACAGGAUUUUUCCACCUCCUUUAGGAUUUCAAAUGUCUUUUUUCUUACACUCUCUAACUUUCUAACCUACAGAGUACUGCAUAGGUCAAUAGACUAAGUAGUACUCAAGACCUCAAAGCCCUGAAUACAAAUCAUGUCCCUAGUUUAGAUCAGAAUUUUACAUGAAGAAAACAGCAGUUUGCACUGCAUGUUGUGUCACGUGUACCAUGCAGCACCAGCGUGUAGCACUGAGGCAUGUCUAGAACCACUGCGUGGAAAUCAGGCCUGAACACUCUUAGCUUAUUUUGGGGAGUUGUUCAACUUAAUAUUUAAGUGGACUAUUAAGUAGACCAUAGAAAUCCAGAUUUGCAGAUGAGGGAGAGUGACAUUUAAGUUUGAAUGAAACCUGGCAAAGCAGAGGUAAUUUAAUCUCUGGUCCCUGAGAAAUGAGCUGAUCACUCCUAAGGCAGCAAGUUUGAAGUAACUCUUUUGAAAUAACCAGGGGAGCACAGUGAAACAAGGCAGUACACUCCUGUAAAUGUAAAUACUUCAUGCUCAACGUUCAUGAAUUUAUAUGUUCUCUGAGAAAAUAAUUUCACCAACAUACUUACGUGUGAAUUUCCUCUGUAGCUAAAGACCUAGUAACUUAGAAAUGGUAGAGAAAAGGUCAAGUUAAAAUCCAGAAGCAAAACAGUGCUGUGGCUGGUAGCUAAGUAUGAUAUCAUGGACAUAAAAGUUAGUAUAAAAAAAUAUAAUCAAUUUUUCCUUUCAUAGCAUUUUUUUCCAAUUUACAGGCCAACAAUGCAGAAGAAUGUAUCAGCCUUUAUUUUCUUCACAGACAUUAGCAGCAUUAUCCCAGCUUUUGAGAAAUUCACGGCAUCACAAGACAUGGCAAGUAUGUUCUGGCACUCACAAAGUUUUACUGAGGGACAGAGGAUACUUUCUGUCUUAUUGAGAGGCACUUACAUGAGAACAGGUAAAAAUCCUGAUACUUAAUAAUCACAUCAGCUGAUACCCUAGAAAGUACAGUGCAGAGCUGGAAACCCCCAUAUCCUUUAGGCCUAUUAAUAACAAAGUAACAGAGGAGCAAAGGAGCAAUUUUUUUUUCCAUGGUAGCUUACAGUGAUACAGGUAAGUAAUGAAGCUGAACACUCAGAGAAUUAGUGGCCACACAUUACAGAGUGCAUUAGAAACUCUGCACCUCACUCUCCCCAGACUGUUUAACAUGUAAAACAAUACAAAAAGCAACAGAAUUUGAAAAGAAGGAAAAGCAGAGAAAAUGAAGAUUUGGUCUGGCACAGAGCCAGUAUUCAUUUCCUUCUUCCCCUAUCAUUUAUCUUCACUUCUAGCCCCUACCUGCAUGUAAGGCUGCCCUGGCUUUCCAUCAGGGUACGGAUAUGCAAGCCCAGAUGAGAUAUUCAUGACUGCCCCACUUGGAAUCUUCCCUCCAGCGCACAGAGGUUAAAAUUAGUUCUUUGGUUAUACCUUGCUGUUUCUGUUCUGUGUUCUCCUCCAAUCCCUACUUAUUCCUGUACUAGAACACACUCUCCAACCCACUGUUUUCCUGUAUUUUCAAUUAAUAAAUUAAAACCUUGCUAACUUUUCUUUCUGUUAA